UGAGUACGAGCGGCUACGGCCGCGAAGUGGAUGAUGUCAAGCUUCCAAGAAAAGCCCUAUACCCGUUAAGGCAUGAUGGCCUGUACCCGAAACCGACACAGGUGGGGUGGUAGAGAAUACCGAGGGGCGCGAGGUAACUCUCUCUAAGGAACUCGGCAAAAUGGCCCCGUAACUUCGGGAGAAGGGGUGCCACCGCGAGGUGGUCGCAGUGAAGAGGCCCAGGCGACUGUUUACCAAAAACACAGGUCUCCGCUAAGUCGCAAGACGAUGUAUGGGGGCUGACGCCUGCCCAGUGCCGGAAGGUUAAGGAAGCUGGUCAGCGCAAGCGAAGCUGGCGACUGAAGCCCCGGUGAACGGCGGCCGUAACUAUAACGGUCCUAAGGUAGCGAAAUUCCUUGUCGGGUAAGUUCCGACCCGCACGAAAGGCGUAACGAUCUGGGCGCUGUCUCGGAGAGAGGCUCGGCGAAAUAGAAUUGUCUGUGAAGAUGCGGACUACGUGCACCCGGACAGAAAGACCCUAUGAAGCUUUACUGUAGCUUGGUAUUGUGCUCGGGCUCGGAAUGCGCAGGAUAGGUGGGAGGCUUUGAUCCAUUGCUUGCGGGUGAUGGUGAGCCACUGGUGAGAUACCACUCUUUCCGAGCUAGAGUUCUAACAGCAACCCGUUAUCCGGGUGCUGGACAGUAUCAGGUGGGCAGUUUGACUGGGGCGGUCGCCUCCUAAAAGGUAACGGAGGCGCGCAAAGGUCUGCUCAGGCUGGUUGGAAAUCAGCCGACGAGUGUAAAAGCAGAAGCAGGCUUGACUGUGAGACCUACAAGUCGAACAGGGAGGAAACUCGGCUUUAGUGAUCCGACGGUUCUGCGUGGAAGGGCCGUCGCUCAACGGAUAAAAGUUACUCUAGGAUAAAAGGCUGAUCUCCCCCAAGAGUUCACAUCGACGGGGAGGUUUGGCACCUCGAUGUCGGCUCAUCGCAACCUGGGGCUGAAGUCGGUCCCAAGGGUUGGGCUGUUCGCCCAUUAAAGCGGUACGCGAGCUGGGUUCAGAACGUCGUGAGACAGUUCGGUCCAUAUCCGGUGCACGCGCAGGAAUAUUGAGAGGAUUUCUCCCUAGUACGAGAGGACCGGGAGGAACGCACCUCUGGUGUGCCAGUUAUCGUGCCAACGGUAAACGCUGGGUAGCCAUGUGCGGAGUGGAUAACCGCUGAAAGCAUCUAAGUGGGAAGCCCACCUCAAGAUGAGUAUUCCCAUGGCAUAAGCCAGUAAGGUCACGGGAAGAACACCCGUUGAUAGGCUCUACGUGGAAGCGCAGUAAUGUGUGAAGCGGAGGAGUACUAAUAGACCGAGGGCUUGACC
rnacentral:rRNA from 1 species